GUAUGGUUACAGUUGUCAGAGACAAGGGGCAGACGAUGGCACCCUGCGGGCUGAGGGGCAGCAAUAAACCAUGAUGGCAAUAGAGGAUCUGAGAUGAUGAGGACAGACACUUGAGCUGAGGAAGCAGUGCUAUCCACUGUGUUUCUCCUCUCAAGGAUGUAGGUAAUGUGGGAAGAUGGAGGGCUGACAGGAGAUGCUUGUAGGAGAUUCCCAGGGAGGUGUCCUAGAAACACUUUCAGCUACUUUCCCAAAGCUAAGUGUUUCCAAAGAUGCUUGAAACAGUUGUGUAGAGAACAGGAUGGACCAAACUGGGAGAUGACUGAGCACCGGAUGUCCCUUGUGAUUCUCAGAGUGCCAUGAAGUGAGCCCUCUGUGACAUCACAGGGUAAAUCCCUGCCUUAGUAACUGCAGAGUGCUUAGCCUGAGGAUAACUCAGAGUCCAGCAAGGAGGUCUGGGAUUCACACUGAGCACGUGUGUCUGCCUAGGCUUGGGCUGUUUUCUGGGAUGGACUACCUGAAAUUCAUCACGAGGAACAGCUUCAUUGAAGAAGCACAAAGAAAAGGCAGCCGUUGAGAAAGGGAGUCUGUGUCUGCCGUGAGAGGAUCAGAGACCUGCGGGGACACAGAGCAAGGCAGGAGUUCGGGGCCAGCAGAGAAGAGCUUGCUCUCACCGGUGAACAAUGUGGCCUUGUUGGGGCUGGAGGAAUAACUCAGAGGGUGAAAGGCAAACCUGACAACCUGCGUUCAUCAAAUAUCCCCCAACCACAGAUUUGCACAUACAUAGGCCCUCACCCAUCCACAGGUGACUUCCAAAUCUACUCAGGCUGACAAUCGAGAUGAACCCUCAGGACGUCUCGUAUUUAUGAACAUUCUUCUAUCUACUGGAUCAUUCUCAUAAACAUGUGUGGCACGUGCUACAGUUUUGCCGUCCUACAAUAAAUAAAUAUCUGGGAAGAUGA